ACUCGUUUUUUUCCACUAAAUAGAUCCAGCAUUAACAUGGUUCUUUGCCAGAAGUGAAGCAAGUGAUGAACAUGAAAUUCGUCGCAGAGGUAUCGCCGACGAAUGCUGCCGCAGAACCUGCACGUAUUCAACCCUCGUAUCGUAUUGUGCAGCAUGAUGUCACGCGCUGAUAUAUGGUUUUCUCCGCAUAAGUAUCCUGUUGGAAAGGGGAAAACAAGCUGAUAUAGAUACCUUUUACGCACAUGAGAUAAAAUCUGCCAUUACUCCAUUCAGCACUCUAUUCUUAACAUAUGCAACGUUGCAAUGGAGAAUAAUUUAAAGAAUGUAUAAUAAAUGUGUAUUUUACCGUA